ACCGUUUUAGUAUAUAAAAUAUAUUUAUUUUCCAAAUAAAAGAUGGAGGAAUCUAAAAGGUA
rnacentral:tRNA from 1 species